GUACUCGCUUUGGCGGCACACAUACUAAAAUCGGAACGAUACAGAGAAGAUUAGCAUGGCUCCUGCACUAGAACGUCAGGCAAAUUCGUGAAGCAUUCCAUAUUUUU